AUUGAACGCUGGCGGCAGGCCUAACACAUGCAAGUCGAGCGGAUGAAGGGAGCUUGCUCCUGGAUUCAGCGGCGGACGGGUGAGUAAUGCCUAGGAAUCUGCCUGGUAGUGGGGGAUAACGUCCGGAAACGGGCGCUAAUACCGCAUACGUCCUGAGGGAGAAAGUGGGGGAUCUUCGGACCUCACGCUAUCAGAUGAGCCUAGGUCGGAUAGCUAGUUGGUGGGGUAAAGGCCUACCAAGGCGACGAUCCGUAACUGGUCUGAGAGGAUGAUCAGUUACACUGGAACUGAGACACGGUCCAGACUCCUACGGGAGGCAGCAGUGGGGAAUAUUGGACAAUGGGCGAAAGCCUGAUCCAGCCAUGCCGCGUGUGUGAAGAAGGUCUUCGGAUUGUAAAGCACUUUAAGUUGGGAGGAAGGGCAGUAAGUUAAUACCUUGCUGUUUUGACGUUACCAACAGAAUAAGCACCGGCUAACUUCGUG
rnacentral:rRNA from 1 species